rnacentral:rRNA from 1 species
UACGUAGGGUGCAAGCGUUGUCCGGAUUUAUUGGGCGUAAAGAGCUCGUAGGCGGUCUGUCGCGUCUGCUGUGAAAACUCAGGGCUUAACCCUGAGCUUGCAGUGGGUACGGCCAGACUAGAGUGCGGUAGGGGAGACUGGAAUUCCUGGUGUAGCGGUGAAAUGCGCAGAUAUCAGGAGGAACACCGGUGGCGAAGGCGGGUCUCUGGGCCGUAACUGACGCUGAGGAGCGAAAGCAUGGGGAGCGAACAGG